AUUGAACGCUGGCGGCAGGCCUAACACAUGCAAGUCGAACGGUAACAGGAAGCAGCUUGCUGCUUCGCUGACGAGUGGCGGACGGGUGAGUAAUGUCUGGGAAACUGCCUGAUGGAGGGGGAUAACUACUGGAAACGGUAGCUAAUACCGCAUAACGUCGCAAGACCAAAGAGGGGGACCUUAGGGCCUCUUGCCAUCGGAUGUGCCCAGAUGGGAUUAGCUAGUAGGUGGGGUAACGGCUCACCUAGGCGACGAUCCCUAGCUGGUCUGAGAGGAUGACCAGCCACACUGGAACUGAGACACGGUCCAGACUCCUACGGGAGGCAGCAGUGGGGAAUAUUGCACAAUGGGCGCAAGCCUGAUGCAGCCAUGCCGCGGGUAUGAAGAAGGCCUUCGGGUUGUAAAGUACUUUCAGCGGGGAGGAAGGGAGUAAAGUUAAUACCUUUGCUCAUUGACGUUACCCGCAGAAGAAGCACCGGCUAACUCCGUG
rnacentral:rRNA from 1 species